GGAGUUUGGACCGUGUCUCAGUUCCAAUGUGGGGGACCUUCCUCUCAGAACCCCUACUGAUCGUCGGCUUGGUGAGCCGUUACCUCACCAACUACCUAAUCAGAAGCGUGCUCACCCAUAGUCCUUACGUUUCAAAUCAAAGUCAUGCGGCUUCGAUUCACAUGGAGCAUUAAUCCAACUUUCGCUGGGCUAUUCCCCGACUAUGGACAGAUUGCACACCUGUUACGCACCCGUGCGCCGGUCGCCAUCUAUCAAAGCAAGCUUCGAUAAUGCUGCCCCUCGACUUGCACGUGUUAAGCCUGUAGCUAGCGUUCAUC
rnacentral:rRNA from 1 species